rnacentral:rRNA from 1 species
ACGGGUGAGUAACACGUGAGAAUCUGCCCUCAAGACGGGGACAACAGCGGGAAACUGCUGCUAAUCCCCGAUAAGCCUACGGGUGAAAAGAAAUUCGCUUGAGGAGGAGCUCGCGUCCGAUUAGCUAGUUGGUGGGGUAAAAGCUUACCAAGGCGACGAUCGGUAGCCGGUCUGAGAGGACGAUCGGCCACACUGGGACUGAGACACGGCCCAGACUCCUACGGGAGGCAGCAGUGGGGAAUUUUCCGCAAUGGGCGAAAGCCUGACGGAGCAAGACCGCGUGCGGGAGGAAGGCCUUUGGGUCGUAAACCGCUUUUCUCAGGGAAGAAGACCUGACGGUACCUGAGGAAUAAGCCUCGGCUAACUCCGUGCCAGCAGCCGCGGUAAUACGGAGGAGGCAAGCGUUAUCCGGAAUUAUUGGGCGUAAAGCGUCCGCAGGUGGCUGUUCAAGUCUGCUGUCAAAGCCCGAAGCUCAACUUCGGAGAGGCAGUGGAAACUGGGCGGCUAGAGAUCGGUAGGGGUAGAGGGAAUUCCCAGUGUAGCGGUGAAAUGCGUA